AUGAAAGACAUGAGCUGUAGGUUAGUCUUCACAUGUGAUCUCCAAUUUCCCCUUUAAUCUAGACUACCAUGUGACUGUCUGCAUACAUGCACUCUUCCCUUGCACUGAACUGUAUGUGUGCGUGUGUUUAUGCAUGUUUUGCCAAUCUGGUACACAGGGGAAAAAGCUGAUUUCAGAGUUAAAAUAUUAACACCAUGCAUCUCAAAAAGAUUUUGUAGGUAAUAAGCACAAAGUUGAAUAAAGAUAACAUGAAAGUACCCAGAGGUGGAACUAAAAACCAAAAAUGAUCAACACCAACCAUUCACAGGCAUUUUGCUGACAUUGUUCAUUACGAUAAGUAGCCUAUACUAGAGAACAGUGAGGUUUUAAAUGUAAUACUAUUGCUAAUAUGGGUGAUUGUUCAUGGAACAAUCGGUGGCUACAACCAUCAAACUAGAAAUAGUAGUUUAAAGGAUAAUUGAACAAAAACUGUGGUGCAAAUUCACGUUAAGCUUAUUUAUCGUUAUCGCAUCAAUUCAGGCAAUUUAUCACAAUAUGUAUUUUUGUCCGUAUGCCCAGCUCGAAUAGUACCUCAACGUCCAAUGUGUUCUAUUAAUAUUUUUUUGUAAUGAAAUUGUCACACCUUGGUCAUGCCAGGGUGUGACAUGGGUUUAUGUUAUUGUAGUUUGUGUGGUUUUACGUUCCGUUUGUUGUUUUUGUAUAUGUAUAAGUUAUUUCAUGUUUCGCUCUUCAUUCAUUAAAGUGAUGAGUAACAACCA